GGGGCCGUGGCUCAGUCGUAGAGCAUCUGGUUUGCAUGUAGAAGAUCCCAGGUUCAAGCCCUAGUGACUCGA
rnacentral:tRNA from 1 species